GAUGAACGCUGGCGGCGUGCCUAAUACAUGCAAGUCGAACGCGCAGCGAAAGGUGCUUGCACCUUUCAAGCGAGUGGCGAACGGGUGAGUAACACGUGGAUAACCUGCCUCAAGGCUGGGGAUAACAUUUGGAAACAGAUGCUAAUACCGAAUAAAACUUAGUAUCGCAUGAUACAAAGUUAAAAGGCGCUACGGCGUCACCUAGAGAUGGAUCCGCGGUGCAUUAGUUAGUUGGUGGGGUAAAGGCUUACCAAGACGAUGAUGCAUAGCCGAGUUGAGAGACUGAUCGGCCACAUUGGGACGGCGACACGGCCCAAACUCCUACGGGAGGCUGCAGUAGGGAAUCUUCCACAAUGGGCGCAAGCCUGAUGGAGCAACGCCGCGUGUGUGAUGAAGGCUUUCGGGUCGUAAAGCACUGUUGUAUGGGAAGAAAUGCUAAAAUAGGGAAUGAUUUUAGUUUGACGGUACCAUACCAGAAAGGGACGGCUAAAUACGUGCCAGCAGCCGCGGUAA
rnacentral:rRNA from 1 species